rnacentral:lncRNA from 10 species
GUCAUGACCAAUUUCACUCCCACCUUAAGAAGAACCAUCAGAAAGUAGAGAAUGCUCCAAAGUUUAGGAGAAGAUGGAAGAAUUGGGGAGUAGGAGACAGCAGCAGAGACAUCCUGGAAAGGUUGGAAAGGACUGGCUAGAGAAUUGCAAUCAUCAUGGAUGACUGAGGUGGACAUGCCUAAAGUUAUGGAGAAAAAUACUUAGAAGAACUUUUAGAGAAGUAAAUAACAGCACAUGGUAAUUCAGAUACAGCAGAAAAGUUAAUGUCUGAGAAGUUUCUCUACAGCAAGGGUACUUGACAGCAAUGGUGCUAAUAUACAUCCCAUUUUUUUUUUUUUUUUUUUUUUUUGCCUAUAAAGCUCCUGCCUACAGAAAGAGAAUAAUUCAGAAAGCAAUGUAGUCUACAAUUUACCAAGAAGAAUUGGCAGAGCAAAGACAGAAGCCUCACCAAAAUGAUGACAUUAUUCACAUUAACACAUAAUGGCUCUGUGUGUUAUUAUCAGACAACCUAUCUCUACUGAAAGUGAUGCUCAUUGAUAAAAACUAAAUUAGUAAGCCAGCAUACUAGUUUGUGUUUCAAGCAAGCUUUAUAAAACUUUUAUUUGGUCAAAGCUAGUAUAAAUGUUCUUAUCCAAGUCAAAGAAUUUUGGAAUUACAAAUAAAAA